AUUCCACAUGUUACAUCCUGAAUUCAAAAUGGAUGACAUUAGUUUUUUCCUCAGCUAUCUACAUACAAUACCCCAUAAUCAACAAGGGAAAAUAUGUUCUAAGAAAUGUUAGCACAUUUAUUGAAAAUUAAAUACAGAAAUAUUUAAUUUACAUACGUUUUCACACCCCUGGGUCAAUACUUUGCAGAAGCACCUUUGGCAGUGAUUACAGCUGUGCGUCUUUCUGGGGAAGUCAGUUAAGAACAAAUUCUUAUUUACCAUGACGGCCUACCAAAAGGCAAAAGGCCUCCUGCCGGGAUGGGGGCUGGGAUAAAAAAUCAGGACAGGAACAUUGUCGAAUUCACUUAUCACGAGAACAUCCAUGGUUAUCCCUACUGCCACUGAUCUGGAGGACUCACUAAACAGAGAACAUCCCUGGUCAUCCCUACUGCCUCUGAUCUGGAGGACUCACUAAACAGAGAACAUCCCUGGUCCUCCCUACUGCCUCUGAUCUGGAGGACUCACUAAACAGAGAACAUCCCUGGUCAUCUCUACUGCCUCUGAUCUGGAGGACUCAC
ensembl:lncRNA